UACGGGAGGCAGCAGUGGGGAAUAUUGCACAAUGGGCGAAAGCCUGAUGCAGCUAUGCCGCGUGUAUGAAGAAGGCCUUAGGGUUGUAAAGUACUUUCAUCGGGGAGGAAAAAACAAAACUAAUAAUUUUAUUUCUUGACGUUACCCGAAAAAGAAGCACCGGCUAACUCCGUGCCAGCAGCCGCGGUAAUACGGAGGGUGCUAGCGUUAAUCAGAAUUACUGGGUGUAAAGAGCACGUAGGUGGUUUUUUUAAAGUCAGAUGUGAAUCCCUGGGCUUAACCUAGGAACUGCAUUUUGAAACUGAAAUACUAGAGUAUCGUAGAGGGAGGUAGAAUUCUAGGUGUAGCGGUGAAAUGCGUAGAUAUCUGGAGGAAUACCUGUGGCGAAAGCGGCCUCCUAAACGAAUACUGACACUGAGGUGCGAAAGCGUGGGGAGCAAACAGGGAUUAGAUACCCGU
rnacentral:rRNA from 1 species